rnacentral:rRNA from 1 species
AUGCAAUGCGACAACGGGGGCGAAUUCCUCACUACCUCUCUGCGAGAUCUCUUCUCCAGACAUAGCGCUUCCUUUCGCCUCUCAUGCCCGCACACCUCGCCGCAAAACGGCAAGGCUGAGCGCGUCAUUCGCACCACCAACAACGUUCUUCGUGUCCUCCUCAUACACGCACGCCUUCCGCCCGCAUUUUGGGUUGAGGCUCUUCACACCGCUACCUACAUCCUAAACCGGCGCCCCUCUUCCGCCAUUAACCACAUGACGCCUCACUUCCUCCUCUUCGGGCAGCACCCCACAUACGAUCAUAUGCGCGCUUUCGGGUGUCUUUGUUUUCCCAACACACUUGCCACCAGCCCGCACAAACUCGCCCCCCGAUCUUCCUGUUGUGUUUUCCUUGGCUACCCGCUAGAACACAAGGGCUAUCGCUGCCUAGACCUGGCCACCCGCAAAGUUAUUAUUUCUCGGCACGUUACGUUCGACGAGAGUAUUUUUCCUUAUUUUUCU